rnacentral:tRNA from 2 species
GGGCGAGUGUCGGAAUUGGUAGACGACCGCGACUCAAAAUCGCGUGAACGCAAGUUCGUGAGGGUUCGACUCCCUCCUCGCCCA